UCGAGAAUCAUUCGCAAUGGACGAAAGUCUGACGAUGCGACGCCGUGUGAACGAAGAAGGCCUUCGGGUUGUAAAGUUCUUUCGCCUGGGAGCAAGAGAGGUGGAUUAAUACUCCAUUGAUUUGAGAGUACCAGGUAAAGAAGCACCGGCUAACUCCGUGCCAGCAGCUGCGGUAAGACGGAGGGUGCAAGCGUUAAUCGGAUUUAUUGGGCGUAAAGGGCGCGUAGGCGGGGAUAUAAGUCAGAUGUGAAAUCCCGGGGCUCAACUCCGGAACGGCAUUUGAAACUGUAUUCCUUGAGGGUAGAAGGAGAGAACGGAAUUCCACGUGUAGCGGUGAAAUGCGUAGAUAUGUGGAAGAACACCGGUGGCGAAGGCGGUUCUCUAUUUAUUCCUGACGCUGAGGCGCGAAAGCAAGGGGAUCAAACAGGAUUAGAUACCCUGGUAGUCCUUGCCGUAAACGAUGCAUACUAGGCGUAGUGGGUCUCAACCCCCACUUUGUCGUAGCUAACGUACG
rnacentral:rRNA from 1 species